CACCAGCCUUGUCCCGCUCGGGGCAGGGGAAGCCGAGCCCGCCCCGGGGCGGGACGCGCGAGGUCCCUCCCGCCAGGGGGCUGCGCUGGGCGGCGGGACCGCGCCCGCCAAUCCUAUGGCGCUGGGGACAGCGGGGAGCCCCGGUAGCCGGGGAGCAGCGAGAGCGCGGGGUGGCCGGGCUGCCGCGGGCAGCGAUGUAACCCGGGACGUGGGCGGCGGCGUCUCCGUCUCCCCCCCGGGACUGAGGCGGGACAUGGCGAAUGUCAAGGUGGCCGUCCGGGUUCGGCCUCUGAGCAAAAGAGAGAAUGCAGAAGGGGGAAGAAUAAUUGUUGAAGUUGAUGAAAAAGUGGCAAAAGUCAGAAACAUAAAGGUAGACAAUAGGCUUGAGGGCCCAUGGGACACAAGAGAGAAGAUUGUGGCUUUUGGCUUUGAUUUCUGCUAUUGGUCAGUUGAUCCUGAGGAUCCUAAAUAUGCAUCUCAGGAAGUGGUUUUCCAGGACCUCGGCACCUCAGUGCUAUCUGGUGCUUUUAAGGGGUACAACAUCUGUCUUUUUGCAUAUGGACAGACGGGUUCAGGAAAAACGUACACGAUGAUGGGAACUCCAGCAUCCAUUGGGUUGACACCUCGUAUAUGUGAGGGCAUUUUCUCAAGGGAGGAUGAUUAUUCAGAGCAGCCAACAUCUUGCAGAGUAGAAGUCAGUUUCCUUGAAAUCUAUAACGAGCGUGUCCGAGAUUUGUUAAAGCAAUCAAACCAGAAGAAACCUUAUACGCUUCGUGUCCGAGAGCACCCUGAGACAGGUCCAUAUGUGCAAGGAUUGUCUCAGCAUUUAGUUACAGACUACAAACAAGCCAUAGGACUUCUGGAAGAAGGAAUAGCCAACAGAAUCACAGCAGCUACGCAUGUUCAUGAUGCCAGCAGCAGAUCCCAUGCCAUCUUCACCAUUCAGUACACUCAGGCUAUACUGGAGAACAAUCUCCCCUCUGAAAUUGCAAGCAAGAUCAACCUGGUGGACCUUGCAGGCAGUGAAAGAGCUGAUCCCAGUUAUUGCAAAGAUCGAAUUACAGAAGGUGCCAACAUUAACAAGUCAUUGGUUACUCUGGGAAUUGUCAUCUCCACCUUAGCACAAAACUCUCAGAUGUUCAGCAGCUGCCAGAGCAUAAACAGCAUAACUAGUGAAGGGGACAACCAUGUGAGCAGUCACUCUCCAGGCAGUGUCAGUGGGACUAGGCGUCAGGCUUAUAUCCCGUACCGUGACUCCAUCCUCACCUGGCUUCUGAAGGACAGUCUAGGGGGCAACUCCAAGACCAUCAUGAUCGCCACCAUCUCUCCUGCCAGCUCCAGCUACAAUGAGACCAUGAGUACUUUGAGAUAUGCCUCAAAUGCCAAAAACAUUAUUAACAAGCCCCGGGUGAAUGAGGAUGCAAAUGUAAAACUGAUUAGAGAACUACGAGAGGAAAUAGAUAGAUUAAAAACUAUGCUGAUGAGCUUUGAACUGAGGAAUUCUAGCCCUUCUUGGAGUGAUGACAGAGAUGGAAAUCUGACAGAAUUGGUUCUUCAGAAUGAAAUGAAGAUUGAACAGCUGACCAAAGACUGGAGUGAUAAGUGGACUGACAGGAAAGUCAUAAUGGAAGAAUACAGUGUGGACAUCAACAAAGAAAAAGCUGGAGUGACAAUAGAUUCCAAUUUACCUCAUUUAAUGGCAGUGAAUGAUGAUAUCCUCAGUACUGGAGUUGUGCUUUAUCAUCUCAGGGAAGGAACAACCAAAAUUGGAAGAUGUGAUUCAGACCAGGAGCAGGAUAUUGUUCUGCAGGGUCAGUGGAUUGAAAGGAACCAUUGUAUUAUAGACAACAAGUGUGGGCUUGUGACACUGCGGCCAGUCCAGGGAGCAUAUUGUACUGUAAAUGGACAGGAAGUCACUGGUGCUUGUCGUCUGUCACAAGGAGGUCUUGUUGUCCUGGGCAAGGCUCAUAAAUUUAGGUUCAACCACCCAGCAGAGGCUGCCAUUUUAAGACAAAGAAGAUUGAUUAGUGAAGCCUCCCCCGUAUUGAGCAGCAAAUCUUUGGAAUGGCUGGACUUGGAUGGAGAUUUCGCUCCUUCCCCUUCCUAUAUCUUUUCUCCACUUGAAAAAGAAAGUCAAAAGCAUAUAGGCCGUGAGGAGGGCAAACAUUCAGCUGAAAUGAUGAGCAGAGAGAUAGAUUCUGUGCAUGAAGAGUACAAGCAGAAGCUGAGAGAUCAGGAAGCUUUCCACAGGGAACGCAUUCAACAGCAGCAGCUCUACAUUGAGGAUUUAAAGCAGCAGAUCCUGGCAGGACAGAUCAAAGCAGAGCGGGAACUAGAAUAUGACCAGGCACUAAUCAACCAGCAGAUCAGAGAAAACCAACAGUGGCUUAUUAAUGAGAAGAAACGACUGGCUUCCCUCCAGCCGCAGCAGAGGGAGUUUGCUGUACAGACAGAGUCUAAGUCAUAUGCAGAAGCUGAAGUGCAGAAUACUGUGGAUUUGGAGAUCUGUCCUUCCCUGGUAGAGCAGAACAGGAAGAGAUUGGUACAGCUGGAGCUUUUGCGGAGAUACUCUUUAAAGAAAGCAGAAAGAAACAUAGGGCGGAAAAAGGUCAAGUUCCAGUUGGAAAGGAUUGUCAAGAAGCAAAAAUUACUGGAAGCCAAGAGAAACCUAGAGCAGCUAGAGGCCAGCUACUGGCUCAGUGAGGAUAACCUGAAACAGUCCCAAGUCCUGAACCAAAAUACCACAAUUACCUCCUGGGAUUACAAGUUGCAAAGGAGAAGGAAGUCAUUGGGUUCAAGUUCCUUGCAACACAGAAGGCAUUCUUUUUGUAAUCCUUACCCACCACAUGUACCCAUUUACAGCUCUUUCCUGAAGAGGGAGACCACCUCUGAAUUAUCUACCUCACCAAAUACCUAUAAAUGCCAUAAAGGCAAUGCACCACGGAAAACGCUAUCUCUAGAAUAUCUACCCAGAACAAUUAAAGACAAUUCCAGGAGAGAUGACCAUAAUGAUGAGCGGUAUAGGUCCUUCGCAAUACAGAGACAGCUAACUAAAAAACAAAAGACAUCACUGUUUGGAAAUGAAAAAGGAGCAGAAAAAGACUGUAGUGAUUCAGUUAUCACAUUACAUAUCAACAAAGAUGAUAAAAAAAUGGAAAAAUUAGAUGAUAGACUAGUACAAACUGAACCUCAAAGCCAGACCUCUAAGAACCUCUCUCCUGAUCAGCUUAAGAAGAAAGGUGAACUUGAAACCUUUAUUACAGGGACACAAGUGACCAAAGUGAAGGUAUUAGGAGAUUCAAGUCAGCCUACUGGGAGACAGCUAGAAGAAAGUGAAGCCCAGGCAUCUCAUAAAAAGUCUAGAAUGGAUUUAAGAGGAGACUGCCAAGAUUCACUUCCAGAAAGCUUUACUAAGGAAGUGAAAAAAUCAAUAGUGCGUGGAAAGCCACCAUCAGGUUAUCUAAGUCAAACAGCAAGGAACUUGAAAAGAGAGCCAAAGUCAUCCUUGCCAAGUCAUGAUAGGCAGUUAGUGGAAAAGCAGGAGUUUCUGAUGACAGCUACUUCAGUAGGGAACCUUAAUAAGAUAAACAUCCAGACACCACUCCGUUACAUUGAAAAAAAAUGGCACAGUGCUGAGGUGUUGAGUGUUGGAAUCUCAAAAACAGCCACAGAUCUGCUAGGGAACUGGCAAGAGGAUGAUGAAAAUGACUUUUCUGACACUGAUAGUUCCUACUCUGUGGAUUCUCUCUCCUGUGCUUAUGCAAAAGCCUUGACCGAGCAACUGAAACAGGAAGAUUCAGACAGGAAUAAAUGUAUCACCAACCCAGAAGAUUCCGAAAGUGAUGAUAGUCAGAUGUCUCAAGACUCUCUGAUAGAAAAAGAAAAUAAAGCCAAAAAACGAAGUAAAAAACGUUUUCACAAAUUAGUGGUUCACCAAGAGCCAGUUAAGUUUUACAAAGGCAGAUAUGAUCACCAUAUCUCACCUUUGGUGACCUCAUCCACAUCACGCAGUGGAUUGGCAAAGACUGAAAGAAGCUUUUCUCUGGAUAGCUUAGCUGAUGCAGAAGAGGUGUUAGCAGAAGAUCUGGUAGAAGAAUCCAAAUCUGAUUCAUCUGAUGAAGUGCCUGCAGAGAUAUUUUGGAGGCUGCAGAGUCCUAGGUCCCCAGCCAUACAGACUGAGGAAUACCAGAAGCCUGGAGCCUGUGACAAAGAUGUAAAAGGAACAAAUUAUGAUCUAAAACAGAGCAGUUCUUUUUAUCUGGAUACUCAAUCACAGUCCAUUUGCAAUAACACUUGCAAACAGCCAUUGAAAGAGAUGAAGGUUUGUUUUCUAGAGCAAGAAGGUUCUGUUGAUCAAAGACUUAAUUCUACGGGUGGAAACUCUUUGACGCUCACUGAUGCUUUGUCUUCAUAUGACUCAAAAAGUGAAAUCAGCAGCCCCAGAAUAGCUGUACCUUCUUUUCAUAAAAAUUUACGAUUUCGUGGUGCUCAUCUGAGCAAGCUGGAAUGUUGGCUGAAGAAAGAUGACCUAAAGCAGUCAGCUGCUGAAGUAUCUUUUGUCUCUGGCUAUAAGCAGUUACAUAGUAUUUCUCAUUUAUCACAUGGCGUAAAUGAGAUAAACGCAACUUUCUCCUCUGAUGGAUCAGAAAUACCAUUACCAGAAACAACACAUUUUGAGAUAGAUGAAAACAAAGUUCCUGAGAGUGGAUCUUUAUUAAGUAAGAUGGUCAAAGAAAAUGCAAAUUCUGAUGAAAAUUCUGUCUUAGAAUCUCAAGAUGUUAGGUCAUUGUUUGUCAGUUCAAUAGGACCGAGCACUUCAUGUGUUCCCAUUUCAACAUUUUCAGCAAAACGUGGUUAUUAUGAAGAUGUCAAGUCAGUUCAUCCUAAACACAAACAGCUUACUGUAUCAUCUACUUAUGGAUCUACUGUUGAAUACACACAACAGUAUAGCUGUUUGAAAAAAACCUCCAUGACAGAUUGUUUGUUACCAGUAUCUGGAAAAGAAGAGGGCUCUCUCCCCACAAUUUAUCCUGAACUGCCCAAGGAUCAGGAUUCUAAAAAAAUAUCAUUAAUUUCAACACCAUCUCCAUAUGUAUUACAGCAGAGAAAUGAUCAUGGAGAUUCUGAUUUAGAAGAUAACUUCUUUAGAACUAUUGAAAAAGCCGAUAUGGGUAAUGAGUGUGAUAAUUUGAUAACGGAAUCAAAAACAAUAGAUUCAAACACUAGAGAUGCAUCUGUCAAUGCAGCUACCAGUGGAUUGUCUAAAGGGCUGUCUCCUGAUACAGCUUCAAUACCCACAGUAGGAAAGUCUUCAGAAAAACAGGGAAUAUAUGAAAAAUAUGGCCAGCUCUUUGCAAAAGAGGGAACAUCAACAUCCCGUGAUGAGGGUUUCUUUCUCAGUGACCUGUCAAACAAGAAUAGGAAUACUGGUAUAAAAAAAAGUUAUACACUUCAGACUUCUGUUGAACAAGGAGAAAAUUCUGCUGGUAAAGUAGGUCUACUCAGUUACAGGGGGAAUAAUUUUGAAUCUGUGCAGAAGAUGGAUUACCAACAGUUGUCUGCAGGAGAAAUAACCAUAGACAAAGAUUUUUCUUCUGAAAGAAAACCCUGUCACAGUGGUCCUGCAACCUUUCCCCAGGAUGCUAGUUAUGACCAAUUCACAAUAUCAAUAGACACUUUUCAGAAAGAGUUGGUCUGUAAUACAAGUAGAGAUAUCCUAAUUGAAACUGCCUUGGAGGCCCCUUCAUUCAGAGAUACUGAAGAAUAUGAACAGAAGGAAGAAAAUCCGUGUUCACAAAAUAAUUGUGAAAUUCAAAGGAAAUUUGUUUUAAAGAAUGAUUUUCUUGAAAGUUUACAGGCUGACAAUCCUGAAAGUUGCUUAUCCCUACAGGUUUUGGGAACCACCACAUUAUGUCCUGAGCCUAUAAGAAAAGAAAGCAGAGAAAGUAAAGAAAAACAUAAUUUGAGUUCUCACCCUGUAGGCCAGGAAAGGUCUUCAUCCAAAUAUAGAAAUUUGGUGGUAGAUGAAUUAAGAUACCUUAAUGUGAAUUUAAAUGGAAAAAACACUGCGCUCUCAACUGCAGGUACUUGUGAAAUUAGAGAUGAAUCCACCUCACAGUCCAACUCAAAUGAAUUUUACUAUGACACAGCAAAAACUAAUCUUUUCCUACUUGCUUCUGAAACUGAGAAAUAUAAUACACAACUGCAGGAUCUUACAGCAAUUAAUGAAAUUUGUGAUACCAGAUCUAAUCUCAGUAUAGAAAACAAUGUUGAAAAAAGUUGUUGUUCUGGAACUAAUUCUAAUUGCCUCUGCACAAUGUGCUGCUUAAAAUCUAAAGAGCAGAAAAACAAUAUGUAUAAAAAGGCUGAAGGUCCUGUGGGAUAUGAUGCAGCCGUUCUCUCUGAUGAUACCCAGACCAAGAAAAAAUCCUUUCCUGAAUCCAGAGAAGAGAGUGAAACUGCUUUUUCUUGUAUGGUUCGUAGUGAAAGUGAUUUCUCAGGAGAGGUUUUGUUUGUUGGAGGAACCAAUAAUUAUGUAAAAACAAACUCUGGAAAAGUGCUUGAACACAAAACAGUUAUAUCAGACACGGCUUUCCAAGAAGGGAGUCCAAGUGUGAAUAACAAAUCUGAAUGCACAAAGAAGGCAGCUGAUCCUGAAGAUGAAAUUAUCCUGGAAGAGACUCUGGUUCCCUAUCAGAGUAAAAAAGUAAACACCACUGAAGAAAUUGCUAAACUGGUUAACAGUGUCAUCAAGUUGGAAAGCAAUAUUUUGGAAAUUAAAGCUAGACAGACUGAAACCGAACAUAACUACUCUGUAGUUGAAGCCCAGUGUGAUAUUGGAGAAAGGAGCAGAAAUAAUUUGGAAAACAGUAGUCUGGUUCAGAGAUCAAAAGAGCCCAGUGAUCUUGUGGCUUGCAAAGAUCACCAUGAGUUUUACAAAAAGCUGCACACAACAGUACUGUGUGAAGAGGCAGAGAAAGAACAAUCAGGUGUAUAUAGUGGUGGUGGUGUAGGACACACUGAUGAAUCAAAAACAGAGGAGAUUUCUGACAGCUGCAUUCAGACAAGUAGCUUUCAUGAAAAUAAAAGGAAAGCAAACAUGAAAAUAAAUUAUUGUUCAACAGAGACUGAAGCUGCUUCUAAAAGCAUUCCUUCAUCAGUGUGUUCCAGCUCAUCAGAUUUCUCUGAGAAUACUAUAGGCUUCCUUGAUACUUAUGAGGAGUUGAAGCAGACUAACAGAAUAAUAGAAAAUGUGUUGAAUACUAAAAGUAUAGCCAGAACAAUACCAGGUAGUUGUGGAGAAGAGAACUCUUUAGAAAAUGGUGAAAAGGAACAAAAAAAUGCUUCUAGUGAUACAAGUGAAAUUUGUAUAACAGACUGCUUGGUGAUGGCCCAUGAGAACUUUUUUCAAGAAAACAGAGUUGAUGGAAGCAUAACUAACUCCAAAAUGAUUGGGAGUGAGGAACAAACUAAUGUAAAAGACCAUGAGAUGUUGGUUAGCACAGGGAGAGGUGAACUGCACACAAAUUUAAAUGUUUCAUUUACGCAAGAGAUUCCAGCUCUAGAUCAGAUGUAUUCUAACAGAGACAACAGUGAAAAAUUUAUAAUUGAAUCUGAGAUCCCAGAAAGAUACUUUACAGCUUCCAACCUAGAAGAACAAGAUGUUUUGUCAGUUGAUACUUCAGGGUUAACAGGAGGUAGCCAUGAUGCAAUUGAAAAGAAGGGCAAGACAGGUAUAAUGAAUAAAUUGGUGGAGGACAUCAAUAACUGUGACAGUUCAGCUGAUGAUAGUGCAGUAACUGAGAAAAAUGUAAUCAGAGGAAAAUCUGGAAGACUUAUUAAAGAGAAUAGCCAUACAGAUAAGAGUUCUUAUACCGACUACACCGACUAUGGGGUGUCUGAAGAUUUGGAUGUAAAUUUUAUUGGAAACAGACCUGAUAAUUUUGAGUCUGAUCCAAUGCGCUUCAUAGCACAAGAGAAGGAGAAAACACAUCAGAUAAAUCUGGUACAAAUGGCUAAAGCAGAUGUAAUAAAUAAAAGUUUGAAAACAUAUAAUACGUCUGUUUUUAGAACAGAUAAAGAAAGGAAGGCUUUCAAAGAAAACAUUGAGAGUAGAGAACUGACUGCUUCACAAAAUCAAAAUGAAGUUCCACCUGAAAACAAAGGCAGCCACCAACUGACAAAUAAUAAAUUAAAUGAGAUCUUAAAAGAAAGUCAUUGGGUAUCUAAAGAUUGUUCUAGAAAUGAUGCCAAUGUUUCCUCAGUACCUAAUAAACAACUGCUUACCCCAGAAACUAUAAAGUCUUCUGAAGAAACUCAACAGUGUUUGCUUAAAGUCUUUCCAUGUCAGUCUGUAAAUCAUCCUUUAUAUUUUGGAAUAAAUAACAGCACAGAAGUUGUGCAGAAUGAUCCCACUGUGUUAAGAGGACAUGUAAAGUCAUUUAAUAGCAAUGCUGGUACGGGAGUUGUUCUUCCUUAUUAUGAAACAUUAAUGGAGAACGAUGUGCAUGUUGGAGCACCCAGUACGCUUAACAAAGAGAGAAGAGAUGAAUCAUUGUCUGAUAAAAUGCAAAAUAAAGACCGUGAUUUUCUGCAAACGAUGAUCAUGCAGAACAAGCAGAAGGAAGGACACUUUGUAUUAAACAACACAUCUAAUUAUGCUGUAUCUGGGCAAUUUCCUGAUAGGGAUGACAUAAAUUCAACUUCCUCUAUUGCAGAGUGUCAUGAAUCCAUAAUUGUUACACCUAGUCAAGGUGCAAGAAAUAAUUCAGUUUCCCUGGGAAGGUUAGAUUCUCCUGAAGAUAUAAUUCAAAAUGUGAGCAAUUCUGACGCAGAGUACAGCACAGGCUUAAGUGUGGGAGGAAAAUCAAAAGUUCGUUUUAAUUCCUUAGAUGAUAUAGUUCAAGAAGGAAGUAUGGCUGCAUCAAUGGCUGUGUCUGGUCCACAGACUUCAGAUAAUGAAAAUCUGCUUUCCUCUUCAAUGUUGAAAGAUAAUGCUAUGAGAGAGAAAAGAAAGCAAUCACUACCAGAGGUCUGUUCUCAGAAAGCUUUUCAAAAUAUUAAUAUAAGUCAGAAAGAAUUAGCACAAUGCAAUCAGACAGAGAAAUGUUCAGCUGCAGACUAUAUUAAAACAGACUGUAGAAGUAAUAGUGAAAGGAUUCCUGAUGUAUUUGGAUAUCAAACUGAACCCAGUGAGAUUCAGGCAUACGGGGCUUCUAGAGAUCUUUGUGUGGGAUUACCAGACAACUCUGCAGUUGCUUCUGAGACCCUUUUAGAAAGUAUUAAUCAACCCUUGUGGAAAAAUGCUCAUUAUGAUGAACACUCUGCAAGAUAUAAUAUGAAUUCUUGUGUUUCUAAAUAUUCUGCUGGUCUGCUGAAGAAUAGCCCUGCUACACUUCCAGAUGUGUUGGUAGACAGCAGAGAAGACAAAUGUAAAAUUGAUGCUGUUUGUUUUGGAAAAACAAAAUACUUUGAAAGUGAAUCAGUAGAUUUGGAUGUGCCUAUACUUGUUUCUGAUGAUCUCUCUGUAAAUCAGAAAGAUGAUGAAAGCAAAAUUUGUUCUGCAGUUGGAGAGAGAGAGAGAACAGACACACAGCAUGAUGAAAUCACUAAAGAGGUAGUUGGAGUAGAUCAAAAGCAAGAACAAAGUCAAGAUUCUUUCCAGAUUUGCCAUGGUAUAAAAGAAAAAAAAUUGUGUUUAUACCCAGAAGACUAUAUUGGUAGCUCUGGCAUGAAACUACCAGAGAAGAGCUUGCUUACAUAUCAAAGUCUUGAAAAAAUUAACAAUAAGGAAACAAAAUCUCUUACCUUAUGCACUGUGGAAGAUGUUCCCACUUAUUCAACAUUUAAAAGUUCCAACAAUCUUAGUACAUUUGAAACCUCUAAUUUGCCAGAAGACUCAAAAUCUUUGAAAUUUAGGCAUCUUGAUGACUCAUUGCAAAACAUUUCAUUGACUGACCGGUUGUCAUCUACUUUUACAAAUCCUCAUUCUCUACAAGAAAGACAAGAGAGAGAGUUUCCUCGAGCAUUUCCAAAAGUUUCUUACCCAUCAUUAAAAAUGUUUUCAGAAUAUCCUCUUACUGCUGACCUUGGUUACAAUGAAACUAGCAGAUAUGAUGUUUCACAUACAACUACUUCAAACUGUUCUGCAUUUGAUAUAGUACAAAUGCAAGAGAGUCAGUCUGAUGAUGCUGUGAUAUUUGACCAGCAGCCAUCUGCUUCAACAAGUAUUGUACUUUCUCUUACAAAUGAAAAGGGACAUCUCCCAAUAGCUGAUACAAAAUCUACCUCUCAAGGAUAUCCUGCUGAAGAUGGAAAAUCAAUACAUAAAAGUAACUCUGAACAACUCAACAAUGAAACAGAAGUUGAUAAACAACCCUGGGAUAAAGUUUCGCUACAACAAGCAUUUUUAGAAAACUUAAGGAAAGUAGAAGAUGGUGUUUCUAUGUCGUCAUCUUUAGCUGUUGGGGAUGCUAGAAGAGCAACUCUUAAUAAACAAGAAAAUAUGAGAGAGAGAAUUAGCAGAAAUGAGAAGGAAAUGCAUUCAAACAUGGAGAAGGUACUUCCUGCAACAGACAGGAAGCAGAGAAGAACAUUUUUAAGAAAAGAUCCUGUUGAAAAUCAAACCAUAGCGCCAUCAGUUUUUGCCAAUGAGUUAAUGGACCCACAAAUUACAAUAUCACAAAACCCAUGUUCAGGAAACAUUAGUGUGGAUUCCAGGUACAUGUACAAUUUGUACGGGGGAGUAUGUCCCACAGAUAACAAUGCUGCUGAUCCCAAAGAAACAUAUCACACUGCCUCAAAUUUUGAAAUAAAUUCAUGUGCAGAUUUACAAGACAAUUGGCAGGUUGGGCAUGCCACGGAAAAAGAUCAAAGUAGAGCAAAUGUAAGCAGUGGAAAAGAUAUGGUACAUUGCAAAAAUAAUGCAUGUUCAAAUGUUGAUAGUCCUGACAAUUUUCCGAUAGUGGCAGAUAAUAUAAUGAAGAUUAAGCGAAAGACUUCAAAAUCAGAAAGGCAAAAUCUUUCUGUCAUGAAAAAUGAGAACAUGUCCUUCAAAAUUUUACCAGAAAACAGUUGUUUGCCUCCACAGGAACCCAAGUUGGUAUUACUUAGGAAUGAAAAAUCAUACUUUACUGCACAAAAUACAAAGCAUUGCAAACAAGAUGAACAAAGAAAUUGUUUACAGAAUCACAUAUUGUCAGCCCCAGCUAUAUCUGCAAUCUCUGAUCUUGAAUAUACUUCAGAAGUUUCGUCUAAGGCACAUCUUUCUUUGUAUCCUGCCUCUAAAUCUUUACAAGAAUUGAAUAUGAGUGUUGAGCCUCCAUCUCCAACUGAAGAUGAUCUUCAUGGAAUUGAAAGAUUUUCAAAAUUGGAGUCAGAUAAUUUCAUACUGGCUAAAUAUAAACCUAGAUUGCAGCAGAGAUUGGUACAAACUCAGAGACUUGCUAAUUAUGAUCCAAAAAGCUCACAAAAUUAUGGGGAGAGAAGCCGAGGCAGCAACUCCUUAGAGCCCUCUGCUAUUCACUAUUCAACUGCUUUGGCACAUAGAGCUGGUCGUUCCAUGGAUAUAGAAGCAAAAAAACAUUCAAAUAAUACUUCUUUACCACAGUGCAAUGAAGAGACAAUUGAAGAAUUGAGAGAUCAACCAGAAGAAACAGAUUUAUUUUUACAGGACAAUAAAGAUGCAAUGCAUUUUAGUUCAAGUGAUAUCAAUCCAUACAUUCAUCCAUGGCAGCAAAAUGGACUCUGCAAGAUUGGUUGGAAGCAAUAUGUUUUUGGUAGUGCAAGUGAUGUCUCUUGCAGUCAGCCUCCUCUAAGCCUGGAUAAUCAUAAGGUUAUGAGAUGCUCCAGUGUGGAUAAUGGACUGAACUCUCAAAACUCCCCUUUUCACUCUCAUCUCAGUUCUUAUGCUAAUGCAAAAGUACUAUCAAGCACUUUAAGCAGCAUUGAAGACCCCCAGGGAUGGGAUGAUGCGAGACAGGGCUUUGAAUCUACAUAUUCAAGUGACAACAGCAAGCAUUAUGUAAAUGUAUCCAGUGAGAUACUUCAAACAAACCCCAAAAGCAGAAUUUCAAAAUUUGAGAAUCCUUCUGAGCAACCUGGAAACACUUCCAUGCAAGUUGAUGAAAUUGUACUCCUCUACCCUUCUGAGUCAGAAACAGCCUCCAAAAAAACACAAGGCAUUACUUGUGAGCAGGGAACACAAACAAUGGCUACAGGAAGGUAUAAAAGACAGAAAAGGCACCGGAGAAGUUAUACGGAUGUUUCUGCAAGAAAACAAGACGCAAGUAGGAGUUCAUUUCAGCGACCUUCUUCUUGGGCGAGCAUGCAGAAUCUGUCCAUGCACCUAUCGCAGCUUCUUCAUAACACUUCCGAGCUGCUGGGAAACCUCUCCCAACAGAAUGUUCUAGAUAACGAGCAGAGUGCCAAAAUUAAUCAAAGAGGAAUUGCUGAAGAGAUUGCAAGGGCUGCUAUGUCAGACAGUUGUACUCAAACUACAGGAGAUGUAGGCAUUCAAGCUGAUAUUUCAGAACAUCCACAAAGCAAAAACAAAGAAAAUCUAUUGCAGGCAAAAAUUAAAAAUGAAUUGAUGAAAACUCAGGAAGUGAAUGUGAUUGUGAAAGUGGUAGGUUCAGAUACUGUAUGUAGGUCUCAGGAAAAGAAAGAUGUAGGUCUGACUAUUCAAGCGAGAACUCCAGAAAGCAUUGAAAUGAGACUGCAGAGCAUGCCUGACUUCAAUGACUCUGCUGCUAAUAUUUUGGGAGAUUCCUUUAUGCAUCUGCCUUCGUUAGCCAGAGCCUCCACUCCUAUCUUAGAUUUUCAGAAACCACCAUUCAGCGCACAGCAGAAUGUUGCUUUUGGCAGUCCCAGAGUUUCUCCUGUUGUAUCAUCUUCACUGAGUUCAGGACAAGAUGAAUCUCCAUGCACAGUAGUUAGCAGCUCUACUUCUAGUACGUCUCAAUCUCCAGCACAUUACACUCAGGAUAAGAGAACUGUUGAUGAAUCUGAUAUUGCAGUAGAAAGGAAGCUAUGUUAUAAAAACACCUUAUUAGUUGACAGAGCCUCUUCCCCUAUUCUGACACUUAGUGCAAAUCCAAGCAACCAGGUUACCUGUAGCAAGUCCAUUUGUUCUAUCAAGGGAUCUGUGGAACAUCCUCCUGAUACUUCAAGUUUGCUUAGUAAUCAAAAAAAGCAAGGAUCACAUUCAUGUUCUGGCUUUGGCACCUUGGAGCCUCAUGUAGACAAUUCUUCACAAACAGAAACAGACAAUGAAUCUACCACUUCUAGAAAUAGCAAGGAAGUGAGCAAGAAAUCUGGAAGUUUCUCAGAUAAGAACACAGCUAAAGAGUUCUUAGGAAUAGGUGUUUCAAAAGAAUUGAAGGAAAACCACAGAUUCACUGUUGACGCGCACACUACAAUUCGUGCAAAAAGACUGUAUCAUUCAAGUAGUACUUUAGAGGUUUCUGGCCAUGGGGAAUAUUUAGUUGAUGAUCUCAAAGAGCACGUUCCAAUGGAACGUUCACUACAUUGUAUGUAUGUCACCAGAAGAGGAAGAGGCUCUUCAGGAAGAAUCAGAUAUGACAAAACCAGUGGAAGUUCUGAUGCCUCUUUGAUUAAAAACCACUCUCAGGCUUCUUUUGUUGAGGAAUGUAGACAUUCCCCUCCAAAUUCUGACUUGCUUUUUAAUCAAGAAAUUAGCACGUGUUGGUCAAGCAAGACAAAUGCUGAUGGAUCUCCAGAACAUCAGAUAGAAGCCUCUUCUGCACAGUUCCACCAUUCCUUUUGGAAAAAUCAAAAUAGCUGCCCUUUUCCGCUUUCUAAAAUGAGUGACAUGCAUGUACCCCUUCAAGAUGACGAUGCAGCAUCGGCUUCUGCAAGUGAAUGUAAUACUGAAAUUCUACUAAACGAGAAUGCCUCCUUAGUGAAGACACACAGGCCACGAAGCUAUAGUCUUCGUGACUUGCCCCUACACAAUAAAUUUAUCAACUGGUGUGGAGUGAAGGGCAGUCCUCCAUCCUCAGUAAUUAGCUUGACUGGCAGUGCUGCUGAUUUACAAAAUCAAAUGGAAAAGAAGCCAGUCAGCAAACAAGGAACUGAAACAGAAGGGAAAUCCCAGCCUUGGGAAAGCAGAACAAGAGAAAUUGAGAGACUUCGAAGAGAGCGUGCCCAGAUUAUGUCUGGCAUACAUCUGGAUAUGAAGCAGCACCCUCUUACUGUAGAGCUCACUGAAGCAAAGCUGAAUUAUGGAAUUGGGGAAACAGAUGCACUGCUGAGAAUUCUUCAGAAUGGAACAGGGGAGGAUCUGACUUCAGUUCCCAUAAAGCAGCAACUUUAUGAAAGGCACAUGAAGACAAUCGAAGCCCUGAGAAAGCAGAGGGAGGAAAGGCUGCAGAGCUUUAGGAGAACCCGUAGUCUCAGUCCACAAAAGCAUCUGAGCCUGAUGCAGACGUUGGACACAAACCAGCGGGAUCUGGAUCUCCCCAGCAGACGCCGAGAGUACUUGCAGCAACUGAGAAGAAAUGUAGUAGAAAAUACUAGAGUCCAAGAACCAAAGAGGAGGAUUUCCCAGUAUCCUUCAGAGAUUGAACUACUACUCCGAGACUAUCAGAGGGCACGAGAAGAGGCCAAGACUGAAAUUGCAAGAGCAAGGGACAAACUUCGGGAGAGAGCUGAGCAAGAAAAGAGACGUAUACGAGAGCAAAUAUUUUCUCAUCUACAGAAGGAAGAAGCAAAGCUGAAGACACUUGUAAGCACAAGCACUUUAUGUACAGAUUCCAGCCUGAGUCUUUCCUCUGGCCCAACAUCUGGUUAUAACAGCAGCAAUGCUGCUACUUACGCUGCAGGCAAACUCAGCAAACAGGAAGCACUGAUUUCUCCUGGAAAUGCAGAGCUUCCAAGAGGAGAUACAAGAGGUCGCUCAGCUGUUAGAAAUAGUCAACUUUAUGUGUUAGAGCAACUACAAAAGAAUUCAGCAUGUGAGAGCAGCAGAGUUCAGCCACCACUUCCAUCUGCUAGCAUCAGCCAUAAGUUCAGUCCUGGACUAACUCUUUCAGUCAGCUCCUCUCCUACGAAAGAAUACCAGGAUUUGUCCAAACACAUUUUGGCUAAUGCUAUCACUGAGGUUAUGGCAGCAUGUUCCAAUAACCUGAGGAACUUUUACAACUGCCAGGCAGCAGCUGAUUGGAAAUACCAGUGUACAGAAAAAGAGGUUCUGGUUUAUUACAAAGUCUUCCCAUCAGCAACUAAGCAUGGGUUUUUGGGAGCUGGAGUGAUUGAAAGACCUCUUCCCAAUGUGUGGUGCAUGGUGAAAGACCCUGGCAAAAGGCAUCUAUAUGACAAAACCAUUAACACAGCUCAAGUACAUAAAGUAAUGAGCCAUAUUCAGCUGGUAUAUUUGGUGAGUGAUACUUCAUUGUGUUAUCUAAAGCAACCACGGGAUUUCUGCUGCAUUACUGUAGAGGCCAAAGAGGAAAACUUGUCGAUUUUAGCUAUUCAAUCUAUCUACGAUGAGUCCAUGCCUCGUCCUUGUAAAGAAAUGGUACGAGGGGAGAUUCUGCCAAGUGCUUGGAUAUUGGAACCUGAUAGAGUAAAUGGAAAAGACAUCACCAGAGUCAUUUACAUGGCACAGGUCGAUCUUGGCGCCCCAGCUAUACCUGCACGGCUUCUGAGCUCCAUUGUUAAGCGGCAGCCUCUGGUGAUUGCUAGGCUAGCACAUUUUUUUGCUAGUUAAUGUUAGUUAACAACAGAACCAGACACAGUUACAGUGGGAGACAGCUGCUAAGUACCAAGGAAUAGAUCUGAAAGUCUUUAUCUUCCAGACAAAGUAACAUUUUGGCUUAGAAAAGAUGUCCCACUUCAGAACUGGAGAUGAGACGCCACAGGCUAACCAGCCAUGGGCAAAGCUAUUACUGAAACAAACAAAUGGAAGAUCAGCAGCUCCAGGAAUCACUGUUCAAAGAGUAAACAUUUCUCGGGUACUUGUCCUUACCAGAGGAACAACAUCUAGGACGACUCAAGGAGGUCAGUGACAGUGCCUAUUGAAGGAUAAUGUCUUAUUGUACAGUGCAUCAGAUGUUUAUUUUUAUAAAUGCAUAUGAUUGUUUUUUCUAUGUUUACAAAUUAAGUUAUUUAUAUAUAUGCACUUAUUUUGAAGUUUUUUAUAUGCUGAUGAAGCUAAUUUUUAUUUUUACUGAUAUCUAAUUAAUAAGCUUUUUUUAAAUACAAUCGUCAAUUGAUACUAAUUAGCCCUAUUUAUACAAAUGUUUUCUUUUGCAAAUAACAUUUUAUGAUACUGUUAAUGUGUGGGAUUGGUUUGUUUAGAAGAAAAGUGGGACAAAAGCCAGCUGAUUUAUUUAUCAAGACUAGGCAAAAACUUCCUGUCAGUAUUUUACUAUCAUAGCAGUAGAUUUGAAUGAUAGUGAAUCAAAUCAAGCGUACUGUAUCUCUUAUCCCAUCUCGCUCUCAGCAAGGAUUGCUAUUUUCAUAUCCAUAAUAAAUGGUAUUUUCUACAUAGAGAAAAUGCUCCAACUGACAUUCAUGGUCUUGACUCAACAUGCUCUAUCUACUCAGCUCCUCACAAAAUGUGAGAGUUAAUGGUCAUUAAAGUGAUUUAGGAAAUAACUAAAAGGCUUACUUGAUGAUAAAAUUCUGUAGGGCUUCAAUACAACAUCCUCUAAUGAGAAAUUACUUAUUAACUUCUAUAAAUUAUCUAAUUCUCUAUGAAAAAUACAAACAGCACAAGACACUUGCAAUUCCUUCAAAGCAUUAUUAUAGCAUUUUCCAUACAAUGCAAUGCCUAGCUGUUAAUUUGGAGAUACUGAAGUCAGGAGUAUAGCACUGAGUCUUGUUGAGACUUUUCAAGAUGCACUUUAGAGUAUCAACCCUAACAACUUCCUAGCUGACCUCCACCUGAGGAGUAGCUAAUUUUCACAUUUUUUGGAUGGCCACUGUUUUCCACAGAAGGGGAGGGAAGGCUUCUAGCUACUGGGAUUUGGUAGGAAUAAAUGCACCCACCCACCUCACAUGACCCCUUUCCUCCCCCACACCAUCAGCAGCAGCCCCUAAAGAGUAGGCAUAGAGCAGGGGUCUCAAAGUCAUGGCCCGAAGAGGGGAGAUACAUGCAGACACCGCCCCCUGCAGCUCCCAGUGGCUGGGGGAGAGGGACAGAGAUACCAUCAUUAGUUGCCAGGCAGUGACACUUUUUUCCACAAUGAAUAUAAACGAGUCAAAAUACUGAACACAACUAUCUGAUGCAAUCCUGAAGGUUUCAACUGCUCAGUCACUGGGGCCAAGCAUCGACAAACUGACAACUGAAAUGUUGCCAAGUGUCUGGCAAACACUAAAAACUCUCUGGCAGGCGAAGAAUUGUAUAAAGUUAUAUGAC